AAACUUGAGAGGCUUCAAAAAAGAAGGAGAAGAAAUGAAAGGAAGGGGAAGGAGAAAGAGGAGGUAGAGAAGAAGGAGAAGAGGAAGAAGAGGAAGAGGUUAUUGCUUGGAAAGGAAAAUGUAGACUCCAAAAAAACCUGAAAACUUUGGGGAAUGAUUUCAGCAAUGGAUCCUGAAAGGGCAGGCACAGAUGGAGCCAGCUGGGAAGAUGCUCCGUAUUCCAUUCUUCUAUUCCAAGACCUGGAUGAUUAAGGAAAUAAGCAGUUUUUCUAUGAUGUCAG